GCCCCGGUAGAUCAGUGUUAGAGCUCCUGUAUAUUGUGAGCGAAAACGCCUAGCAAUAUCUACGAGGAGGUCGCAGAUUCGAAUCCUGCCCGGUUGCU